CCUACGGGUGGCAGCAGUGAGGAAUAUUGGUCAAUGGACGAGAGUCUGAACCAGCCAAGUAGCGUGAAGGAUGACUGCCCUAUGGGUUGUAAACUUCUUUUAUAAAGGAAUAAAACGAGGCACGUGUGCCUUUUUGCAUGUACUUUAUGAAUAAGGAUCGGCUAACUCCGUCCCAGCAGCCGCGGUAAUACGGAGGAUCCGAGCGUUAUCCGGAUUUAUUGGGUUUAAAGGGAGCGGAGAUGGGUUGUUAAGUCAGUUGUGAAAGGUUGCGGCUCAACCGUAAAAUUGCAAUUGAUACUGGCAGUCUUGAGUACAGUUGAGGUAGGCGGAAUUCGUGGUGUAGCGGUGAAAUGCUUAGAUAUCACGAAGAACCCCGAUUGCGAAGGCAGCUUACUAAACUGUGACUGACAUUGAUGCUCGAAAGUGUGGGUAUCAAACAGGAUUAGAUACCCGGGUAGUC
rnacentral:rRNA from 1 species